UGUGUGUGUGUGUGUGUGUGUGUGUGUGUGUGUGUGAGAGAGAGAGAGUGUGAGAGAGUGUGAGUACACACCGGCACCGCCCGAGUUCACCUGCAAGAUGAACCUUCCUUCCAAAGAUCUGUGUGCAGAGAUGGAGGCAGCACAAGUCGAGCCUGGAGACCAGUAACCUAGCGCACGAGCACACACUAACCUGGAGAGGGAGUAUCAUGUAUCCCAAAGAUCCACAGUCCCGUGGUGUUGCCCUCCAGACCACAGAUUCCUGCUGAAGGAGUGCUUGCUUUAAAAGGUUGAAGCAACAAUCGUACUAAAAGAUGCCAUGCAGAUAUUUUAUUUGGCUCACAAAAGCCACAGCAGAACCGUCGAAUACUGGAGAAACUUUCACAGCAUUGUUCUAAUUGCUCUGCUCUUCACUCACUGCGCUGCAAUAAAGCGUUAAAAUGGCAGCGGAGAUGACUUCGAACAAAACAUCAAGCACAUUUCACAUCGUUUCGGGACCCACAGUGAAUAUAAAUCACCGAGUGGUGUUCUGUGACGCUGAACGCUCAGUGAAGAUGAGAUGACGGGCAUAUGGAGGAACAUGCUGCUCUGUAAGUGUUUUCAUCAGCCCCAGCAUGAGGGGGGCAACCAUUUGCUGGGUUCAAUAUCUCCUCAGGCUUCACAUGAAGCGUUUCCUCUUGCUUGCUGAUAAACUUAAUCCAACAUCCUGCUGCACCAUUUAUCCAGUUGGAAAGACGGACUCGCCUAAUGACAUUUAGAUUCAGUUAUCGGCGGUACGUCUGAAAUGUUUUAACUUUAGCUCGCUUUGUAAAUGACUCAGAAAGGCUAGAUGUUGUGAAACACGGUCCAUUGUGUAUGCAACAGGGCGAAAAAAACAGUCUAACGGGGCUCACAAAGCACUUCACAAUGGUCGAGCGGUUUUAUUUCCAGAGCUCCUUUUACAGUAACUAUGGAGACCGUGGGUCAGCUGAUUGCAGAGAAAUGCAGCCAUGGACCAUGGUAGUUUUUUUUUUUACUAAAGGUUUUGUAGUUUCUGUGUGAUCAUACAUUCUGUCUUGGCUUCUCUAAAAAAAAAAAAAAAUGUUACGUUUAUUCUUUAUAACCCAAUAACAUGCUGAAUAUUUCUCUUAGCAGUGCUUUUGUCCCCUUUGAUCCUGUAAAGAGAUGUACACUACAUAAUUCAUUGUCCUCACUCCUCCUCUUUGUGGCACGACGCAAGCAGUUUGCAAAGUUUUUAAUGAAAGUACUGGGUGUGUAAUGAAAGUAUGGAGCUUAAUUACUUUAUCGCUGUAACUCCUGCACAGCACGUCUCUGUGGAUUAUAGUUCCCAAUUACUCCACACGUUAUGACUGUUUCAACUUGACCCUGGAUGAUAGGAAGGAAGGCUCUUGUGAGUCUGUGGCUCUCAAAACUGAAAGUACAUGCUGCUGCCAGAUGGUGAGUCUGACACUGAGAUAAAUGGACAUGUAGACUUUAGUAGGAAGCUCCUAAACUGAAUCCAGUGAGGUGUUUUUGUCACAAAGUGCUCACUUGUUGUCUAAAGUGUAUCACUUAAUAAAGAAAUAAAACAGGGAUGCGUUAUGGCAUGUUUUCCCCAUGGGUUUCCUCCAGGUUCUCUGGUUUCCUCCUUUUUUUUAUUGUUUAGUACAUAACAAAAAGUUUGGACACCCCUAGCCUAAUUACAUUUUAUCAUUUUGUAGAUUUUUGAAUUAAAAAACAUAAAAACAUCCUCUGCUCCAAACUAUAUUUUUUAAAAUGUUCAUGCACAGUUACUUUGUUGAACUUAAAAAACAAAAAUAAAAAUAAAACACUAUUUGUGGCAUGUGCAAAUGUUUGGACACCCUACUAAUUCAGUACUUAAUAACACCCCCUUUGGUAGAUAUGACAGCUUUGUAGACAGCCAGAAAUUUUAACCCACUCUUCCAUGCAGAAUGCUACAAGUUCUGAGGUAUUCUUGGGCUGUCUCGCAUGCACAGCAUGUUUAAGAUCUACAUACAUAUUUUCAACAUUGUUCAAGUCAGGGGGCUGUGAGGGCCCUUCUGAAAGCUCCAGCUUGCAUUUCCUGAAGUAGUUCAUAGUGGAUUUUGAGGUGUUAUGAAUCAUGGUCGUGUUGUAGAAACUAGUCUCUUUUCGGCUUCAGUCUCUUAACAUAAGCUUCCAGAAUUUGUUGAUAUUUGCUGGAAUCCAUUCUUCUAUUUAUCCAUACAAUGUCUCCUGUGCCACUGGCUGUCACACAACCCCCAAGCAUAAUAGAUCCACCUCCAUGCUUAACAGUUGGCAAGGUGUUCUUUUCAUCAAAUGCUGCUCCUUUUUUCUCUCAACAUCCCUUUGGUGAUUGUGGGCAAACAAUUCCAUUUUUAAUUCAUCAGUCCACAGUACUUGUUUCCAAAAUGCCUCUGGCUUAUCUAGAUAUUGUUUUACAUACAUCAGACCUUCACUUUUUACUUGCAGGUAAGGUUCCCUUCUGAUGACUCUUCCAUGCAGAUCAUGUUUGUGUAAACAACGCUGCAGAGUAGACCAGUGCACCACCAGCUAAACCUCCCUGCAUGUCCUCAGUGUCAUUUGCCUUUCAGCCAUCUUCCGGACAGUUCUAUCCACAGGUUUUCUUGGUCUUCCAGGUGGAAAUAGUGAACUAGAAGUGCUUUGAUAUCAUUUUAUAGCCUUCCUCUGCUUUAUAGGCAUCAAUUAACUUCAUUUUCAGAUCCUCAGUCAGCUGCUUAGAGAAGCCCACAGUUGGUGUUAGCACAAGGUUUGAAGAGUCAGAGAAUUUAUUACACUCUGUAUUCCUACUGACAAUUCUUGCCCUGCCUAACAAGUCCUAAUAUGAUAAUUAAGGCAUAACGAUUUAACGAUUUAAAUUCUGAGACUUUACAACUGGAAGGGUGUCCAAACCUUUGCUACUUUUUCGCUAAUUUUUACUAAAAAUUACUUCUUGUUGUUCUUUCGGCUGCUCCUGUUAGGGGUCGCCACAGUGGAUCAUUGGUCUGCAUAUUUGAUCUGGCACAGUUUUUACGCCAGAUACCCUUCCUGAUGCAACUCUCCCCAAUUUUAUCCAGGCUUGGGACCGCACUGAUUUUUGUUAACUUCAAAAAUCAAUAAUAUAUGUAAUUUGGCCAGGGGUGCCCAAACUUUUGCAUAUAACUAUAAAUCGCUGUGGUUUAAGAGAAGUAAAAUACUUUCUGUUAUUGGAAAAUAAUCAACUUCGAUAUGGUAACGACCCUCUGCUUCACGUUCACAACACUGUGUCAAUUAUUUUCCUGGAACAGCAUAUCCUGUUGAGUUUUAUUUUUUCCAGACCAUGAAGACCAAUGAAAAGAGUGCCAGAUGUUUUUUUUUUUUCCACAGCUGGUCUGACACAUUUCUCUUGAGUCUAAUGGAAGUCUGUGUGUAGUUUGACUGAUGAAAUAUCAUCUUCACAAUCAAAUUCCACACCUUAGUGAACCCCACACCAGUGCGAUGGCAGGAGCAAAAAAAAAUGAUGUAUUCACUCGUUAGCUUCAGGCAAAGCAAUAUUGUAGGUGUGUCAAAACAGCAAUAUUUCCAAGUAUAUUCAUGUACUGUGUGGUAAAUGCACAUCCACAGGCAUGGCUUUAGUCCCAGCAGACAGCGCUGCGUUAUUGAACACUGAAACACAUGAAAGCCACGGGCACUUUCUGGUGAUUGACUUUGAGGGGGAAAAAAUGGGCUACUUUUGCUGAGCGGCUUGUCUGGAAAGGCCAGGUCUGUGGGGGAAAUGAAAGAGAGAGAACAAAUGUGGCAUUUGUUGAGAUCGAUAGCGCAUUGCGAGAGGCAUCCGAAAGAACUCCGCAGCGCAAAGGUCCCGUAAAUAGUUAUUUUAUAUGAAUGCAUCUAGGUGGUGGGAAUGAAUUCAUCUGUUCUGCUGUUCGACUGAGCUGUUGGAGAGGAG